rnacentral:rRNA from 1 species
GACGAACGCUGGCGGCGUGCUUAACACAUGCAAGUCGAACGGUGAAGCGCCUUCCUUUUUGGUGGGUGUGGAUGAGUGGCGAACGGGUGAGUAACACGUGAGUAACCUGCCCCCUUCUUCUGGAUAACCGCAUGAAAGUGUGGCUAAUACGGGAUAUUCUGGGUCUGUCGCAUGAUGGGUCUGGGAAAGAUAUUGUUUCGGUGGGGGAUGGGCUCGCGGCCUAUCAGCUUGUUGGUGGGGUGAUGGCCUACCAAGGCGGUGACGGGUAGCCGGCCUGAGAGGGUGGACGGUCACACUGGGACUGAGACACGGCCCAGACUCCUACGGGAGGCAGCAGGGGGGAAUAGUGCACAAUGGGCGCAAGCCUGAUGCAGCGACGCCGCGUGAGGGAUGGAGGCCUGCGGGUUGUGAACCUCUUUCGCCAGUGAAGCAGGACUGCCUCGUUUGUGGGUGGGUUGACGGUAGCUGGAUAAGAAGCGCCGGCUAACUACGUG